AAGUCGUAACAAGGUUUCCGUCCGUAGGACGUAGGUGAACCUGCGGAAAGAUCAUUAUUGAAUUUUCAUUCAAUUACGUUUGUGAACCAGCCGAACCACAAGCUGUGUACUGCUCUUCGGCUUAAUGUCUGAGGCCGUAACCGCGACUGACGGACUUUGAUUAUACCGUUUGUAAAAAACUGAUGGCUGAAACAUCAGUAAUCUUUAAAGACAACUUUUAUCAAUUGAUGUC
rnacentral:misc_RNA from 1 species